rfam:Felis catus isolate Cinnamon breed Abyssinian chromosome D1, whole genome shotgun sequence.
ACCUGGGUGGCUCAGUCAGUUGAGCGUCUGACUUCGGGUCAGGUCAUGAUCUCGUGGUCUGUGGGUUCGAGCCCCGCGUCGGGCU